rnacentral:rRNA from 1 species
AUUGAACGCUGGCGGCAUGCCUAACACAUGCAAGUCGAACGAGACCUUCGGGUCUAGUGGCGCACGGGUGCGUAACGCGUGGGAAUCUGCCCUUAGGUUCGGAAUAACUUCGGGAAACUGAAGCUAAUACCGGAUGAUGACGUAAGUCCAAAGAUUUAUCGCCUAAGGAUGAGCCCGCGUUGGAUUAGCUAGUUGGUGAGGUAAAGGCUCACCAAGGCGACGAUCCAUAGCUGGUCUGAGAGGAUGAUCAGCCACACUGGGACUGAGACACGGCCCAGACUCCUACGGGAGGCAGCAGUGGGGAAUAUUGGACAAUGGGCGCAAGCCUGAUCCAGCCAUGCCGCGUGUGUGAAGAAGGCCUGGUGUAAGCGACUUCAGUCGAGGAGG